CUUAGAAGUAAAAAUUAAAUCAGCAGCAGGGUGUGUGACAGAUAUCUGUGGCCAUAGCUUUUAUUACAGUGUAUUGAGCUGAAUGACAUUUCACAAUAUACCCCCCUUAUGAUUUCAUUACAAACCUUUGACUCAUGCACUGUCAUACAGGACAGUAUCCAUUUAAACGGUUUUUAUAAAAAUAAUUAUUCAAGAGGUUUUCUCCAAGCACCCCUCUAGAAAGGAAAAAAACUCAAUUUAAUUUUUUUUACAUUACGUUUUUUUAAUACAGGCUAGAACAAUAAGUUUUCCUGUCUAGACAUUCCUAUUUUCCCCUCAUUUCCUAACCUAUUUAUGUUGAAAUGUCAACCCAUCAGAAGUGUGUUCAGCAGCCCUUACUUCGCUGAAAUCUGCCAGAUUUAUGUAGCUAUGGCUGAGAGACAAGACCUGUUCUUGUUUUUUUGGCCAGAUUGUUCUUUAGAGCUAAGUCAAAACUGAUCCAGAACCCCAUCCUGUCAGAUCCAUUCUCAUAUACAGGAAAAGCAGCAGGAAACCUUCAUAGAAUAACCAGGAAAGGGUUAAAUGAAUAUUAUAAAAUGAAACAAGCACGUGAAAAUACUAAUGGGAAUAAAGUCCAAUCUGAAACAUACAAACACACAAAAUAAAUAUACAUACACACACAAAACACAAAAUAAAUAUAUACGCACACAAAAUACACACAAAAAAACACUAAAUAUAUACACACACAAACACACAAAAGAAAUACACACAAAAAAACUAAAGAAAUACACACACAUAAAAACACAAAAUUGAUACAAACACACAAAUACUAACUGAGAGAUAGAUAGAUAGAGAGAGAGAGAGAGAGAGAGAGAGAGAGAGAGAGAGAGAGA